AAAAAAACCAAGGAAAACUGAUGCCCUAAGGCUCCAUUAUAAAAGAAACCAUCUGGGCAUUUUUUGAGGGAUCCGGAACUUUUCUUUUGAAUUUUAGAGAUAAAAAUAGAUACUAGCUCCUCCUAUAUCUGUGAAAAUAAUCAGUGCUGCUUCCUUUGAAAUUUUAAUUUUUCUCAAACAAUCUGCUGAAGUCCUGGAUGUACUGUUCGAUUGGCU
rnacentral:lncRNA from 1 species